rnacentral:rRNA from 1 species
AUUGAACGCUGGCGGCAGGCCUAACACAUGCAAGUCGAGCGGUAGAGAGGUGCUUGCAUCUCUUGAGAGCGGCGGACGGGUGAGUAAUGCCUAGGAAUCUGCCUAGUGGUGGGGGAUAACGUUCGGAAACGGACGCUAAUACCGCAUACGUCCUACGGGAGAAAGCGGGGGAUCCUCGGACCUCGCCAUUAGAUGAGCCUAGGUCGGAUUAGCUAGUUGGUGAGGUAAUGGCUCACCAAGGCGACGAUCCGUAACUGGUCUGAGAGGAUGAUCAGUCACACUGGAACUGAGACACGGUCCAGACUCCUACGGGAGGCAGCAGUGGGGAAUAUUGGACAAUGGGCGAAAGCCUGAUCCAGCCAUGCCGCGUGUGUGAAGAAGGUCUUCGGAUUGUAAAGCACUUUAAGUUGGGAGGAAGGGUCGUAACCUAAUACGUUACGGCUUUGACGUUACCGACAGAAUAAGCACCGGCUAACUUCGUGCCAGCCGCCGCGGUAACAC